AACGAACGCUGGCGGCAUGCCUAACACAUGCAAGUCGAACGAGACCUUCGGGUCUAGUGGCGCACGGGUGCGUAACGCGUGGGAAUCUGCCCCUUGGUUCGGAAUAACUUCGGGAAACUGAAGCUAAUACCGGAUAAUGACGUAAGUCCAAAGAUUUAUCGCCAAGGGAUGAGCCCGCGUAGGAUUAGCUAGUUGGUGGGUAAAGGCUCACCAAGGCGACGAUCCUUAGCUGGUUUGAGAGGAUGAUCAGCCACACUGGGACUGAGACGCGGUCCAGACUCCUACGGGAGGCAGCAGUGGGGAAUUUUGGACAAUGGGGGCAACCCUGAUCCAGCAAUGCCGCGUGAGUGAAGAAGGCCUCGGUUGUAAGCUCUUUGUCAGGGAAGAAACGGUAGAGGAGCUAAUAUCUCUUGCUAAUGACGGUACCUGAAGAAUAAGCACCGGCUAACUACGUGCCAGCAGCCGCGGUAAU
rnacentral:rRNA from 1 species